GGGUCCAAGCGUUAUCCGGAUUUAUUGGGUUUAAAGGGUGCGUAGGUGGCCUAUUAAGUCAGGGGUGAAAGACGGUAGCUUAACUAUCGCAGUGCCUUUGAUACUGAUGGGCUUGAAUACACUUGAGGUAGGCGGAAUGUGACAAGUAGCGGUGAAAUGCAUAGAUAUGUCACAGAACACCAAUUGCGAAGGCAGCUUACUAAAGUGUUAUUGACACUGAGGCACGAAAGCGUGGGGAUCAAACAGGAUUAGAUACCCUGGUAGUCCACGCCCUAAACGAUGAAUACUCGAUGUUGGCGAUAUACGGUCAGCGUCUAAGCGAAAGCGUUAAGUAUUCCACCUGGGGAGUACGCCCGCAAGGGUGAAACUCAAAGGAAUUGACGGGGGCCCGCACAAGCGGAGGAGCAU
rnacentral:rRNA from 1 species